UGGAGGGCUGCUAUGUGGGGCGGAGGGCCGUGAUGUGGGGCAGAGGGCCGCUAUGUGGGGGCAGAGGGCCGCUAUGUGGGGCAGAGAGGCUGUGAUGUGGGGCAGAGGGCCGCUAUGGUGGGGCAGAGGGCCGCUAUGUGGGGCAGAGAGGUCAUGAUGUGGGGCAGAGGGCUGUGAUGUGGGGCAGAGAGGCCGUGAUGUGGGGCAGAGGGGUGCUCUGUGGGGCAGAGCCCAUAGUGUGAUGGGGUCCUGUGGUUGCGCUAUGGGGCAGAGCCCCACGUGGGGGAGGUUAUGGGGCAGAGCCCAUAGUGUGAUGGGGUCAGGUGGUUGCGCUAUGGGGCAGAGCCCCACAUUGUGGAGGUUAUGGGGCAGAGCCCCACAUGGGGGAGGUUAUGGGGCAGAGCCCAUAGUGUGAUGGGGUCAGGUGGUUGCGCUAUGGGGCAGAGCCCCACGUGGAGGAGGUUAUGGGGCAGAGCCCAUAGUGUGAUGGUGUUCCGUGGUUACGCUAUGGGGCAGAGCCCCACAUGGCGGAGGUUAUGGGGCAGAGCCCCACGUGGCGGAGGUUAUGGGGCAGAGCCCAUAGCGUGAUGGUGUUCCGUGGUUACGCUAUGGGGCAGAGCCCCACAUGGCGGAGGUUAUGGGGCAGAGCCCAUAGUGUGAUGGGGUCCGGUGGUUACGCUAUGGGGCAGAGCCCCACAUGGAGGAGGUUAUGGGGCAGAGCUCAUACUGUGAUGGUGUUCCGUGGUUGCACUAUGGGGCAGAGCCCCACGUGGGGGAGGUUAUGGGGCAGAGCUCAUACUGUGAUGGUGUUCCGUGGUUGCGCUAUGGGGCAGAGGCCCACGUGGGGGAGGUUAUGGGGCAGAGCCCCACGUGGGGGAGGUUAUGGGGCAGAGCUCCUCGUAGGAGAGGUUAUGGGGCAGACCCAGCGCUAUGGGGCAGUUGCAGCACUAUAGGGCAGACCCACUGCUAUGGGUCCCACCCUUUGCUAUGGGGCAGAUGCAGUGCUAUGGGGCAGACCCGGCACUAUAGGGCAGAUGCAACACCAUAGGGCAGACCCACUGCUAUGGGUCACACCCAGCGCUAUGGGGCAGACGCAGUGCUAUGGGGCAGAGGUAGCGCUAUGGGUCACACCCAUUGCUGUGGGGCAGAGGUAGCGCUAUGGGUCACACCCAGCGCUAUAGGGCAGAGGUAGCGCUAUGGGCCACACCCAUUGCUGUGGGGCAGAGGCAGCGCUAUGGGUCACACCCAGCGCUAUGGGGCAGACCCAGUGCUAUGGGGCAGGGGCAGCGCUAUGGGUCACCCCCGUUGCUGUGGGGCAGCGGCAACGCUAUGGGGCAGACCCAGUGCUAUGGGCCACACCCAGCGCUAUGGGGCAGACCCACUGCUAUGGGUCACACCCAGCGCUGUGGGGCAGACCCACUGCUAUGGGUCACACCUGGUGCUAUGGGGCAGACCCACUGCUAUGGGUCACACCCAGCACUAUGGGGCAGACCCACUGCUAUGGGUCACACCCGGCGCUAUGGGUCACACCUGGUGCUAUGGGGCAGAGGCGGUGCUAUGGGUCACAGCCAUUGCUGUGGGGCAGACGCAGUGCUAUGGGGCAGAUCCAGCACUAUAGGGCAGACCCAGUGCUAUGGGGCAGACCCACUGCUAUGGGUCACACCCGGCGCUAUGGGGCAGACCCGUUGCUGUGGGGCAGAGGCGGCGCUAUGGGGCAGAUUCCCGUGGAGGGCGCGGUCGGUGGGGCAGCGCCGUGGGGCACAGCCGCCCCACGCAGCCAAACUCC
ensembl:lncRNA